GCUGGCUAGAAACUCAAUCUAAAAAAAAAAAAAAAGAAAAGCAAAACUUCAAGCAAACUGAAACUUACAUAUUUUUGUAAUUUCAGGGGUUGGAAUUUCCUGAACAAAAUGCAGACAGGCAGAAAUCUUACAAAACUGUCCAUACCGUUAUCUCAUCAGUCAACAGGUGUUUCGCCUAUGGCACUUUCCAGUAAGGAUGGUGCUGUUGACUUCCUACUGUGCCAACUUACAUUUCCUCUUCUGUCCAGUGCGCUAUAAAGAACACUGGUGUAGCUUCACAAUCAAGAUCUAACAAGACAAGAUGUUCCAGGCCAUAUUGGAGGAAGUUAUUUUACAACACAAAUUCCCCUCAACUUGUCCUGACACAGAGAUCAUCAUCAUGACUCAGAGUAGCUAAGCCAAUGCUGUUUCUAAUAUAGUAAAGCCCUUUUUAAUGAUUCUGUGCUUAGACAAUAUUUGUGGGCCCCAUUAUUUUUUGGCAAAUGUGACUGCUGUUCAAUGUGCAAUGUUUUCUCCUGCCCAUUUCUCUGUAAUUUACAAGUCUCCAAGCCCAGUAAAACAGCAGUUUAUUGCACAUUGAUCAGUGUUGUAUUUUGAUAAUGUCCUCGCUGCUUGAUCUCUAAGUAUGUCACGCACAAAUAAGUGGCAUUAACUGACCCCAUUCUGUCCAUCUCCUUAAGAAAUUAAGCCAAUUUCAGGAUCAAGUCCCAGUAAUUGAAGUUUUCAAACUUACUUUGAUAAUAUCUUCCUUGCCCAGCCAGAAUGACAGUAAAGGCGGCAGCAUGUAUUUUGCUGAUCUCUGCCCUAAAAGUGUCCAAGCUCACUACUGAGUUAAUUAUAUCUAAGGAGAACGCAACAAAGACCAAAAUCUGGUGAUCUCGGAUGCCUGUAUCAGCAAAUAAUACUUCUUGCAAAAUAUUAAUGAGACUUCUACUCAAUGAAAGUUAUAUUUUUGAAUACAUUAUCUGCAUGAGAUUAAUGUUGAUGCAAGUCUCCUGACACUAUUAAGGUGUUUAAUAUAAUACAACAGUUUCUUUAAUGUAAAACAACUUUAUUGAUUUCAGAGGUGGUCCACUCAAUACAAAACCACUUAUAUUGUCAUUUACUAAUUAAUUAUUUAAAAAACUGUGUUUUGUUCAGUUUAGAUUUGCAUGGAUAAUAAUGAAUUUAACACCAUAAUCUAAGUGUGUUCUAUUUGUUAAUUUUAAAAUUGUCAAUAGUAAUCCCAGCCAGAGUUAAUAUUAUAAUGUAGAUGUGUUUCCAGUUGGUGCUUGUGAUUAAAUAUAAAUGUUUCUUCACCCUUUUAAAAUUACUCAUUUGUGUUCAAUAGGUCCUUUUUAAGCUAUUGCUGGAAUUUAUAUUGCUUGCAGUUGAACUGGAACUCUGUAAUGAUGUGGAUACAUUUAACCAUUUUUAAGACCUGAUGUCACAAAAAGUAUUUAAGUUUUAAUGUGUUUAAUUCCAUUGAGUGGUAUAUUUACAUUUCUGAGACAAUUGGGUUUCAACAUGGUGGUGACCUCUAGCUGAAUAGCCAUCAGGGUGUUCCCCAAGUCUGAGUACAACCAAGUUUGCAUACAGCUUUAAUAAAAUGAGGUUAAUUAGACCUUCCUAAGCA
rnacentral:lncRNA from 1 species